rnacentral:rRNA from 1 species
AUACGGAGGAUCCGAGCGUUAUCCGGAUUUAUUGGGUUUAAAGGGUGCGCAGGCGGCCAUUUAAGUCAGCGGUUAAAUCGUGGGGCUCAACCCCAUUCUGCCGUUGAUACUGGGUGGCUUGAUUGCGGUCGAGGUUGGCGGAAUUCGUUGUGUAGCGGUGAAAUGCAUAGAUAUGACGAAGAACACCGAAUGCGGAGGCAGAUGACCAGACCGCAAAUGACGCUCCUGCUCGAAAGUGCGGUGGUCGAACAGGAUUAGAUACCCUGGUAGGCCGCACAGUAAACGAUGAAUGCUUGUUUUCGGAGAUAUAAUGUCGGAGGCAAAGCGAAAGUGAUAAGUAUUCCCCCUGGGGAGUACGCCGGCAACGGUGAAACUCAAAUGAAUUGACGGGG